GACAGAGGAUGCAAGCGUUAUCCGGAAUGAUUGGGCGUAAAGCGUCUGUAGGUGGCUUUUUAAGUCUGCCGUCAAAUCCCAGGGCUUAACCCUGGACAGGCGGUGGAAACUACCAAGCUAGAGUCCGGAAGAGGAGAGUGGAAUUCCUGGUGUAGCGGUGAAAUGCGCAGAUAUCAGGAAGAACACCCGUGGCGAAGGCGGCUCACUGGCCCGAUACUGACGCUGAGGUGCGAAAGCGUGGGGAGCAAACAGG
rnacentral:rRNA from 1 species